AUACGUAGGGGGCAAGCGUUAUCCGGAAUGACUGGGCGUAAAGGGCGUGUAGGCGGCGGUGUAAGUCUGGAGUGAAAGUCCCGCAUUCAAUGUGGGAAUUGCUUUGGAUACUGCAGUGCUAGAGUGCGGAAGAGGUAAGUGGAAUUCCCAGUGUAGCGGUGAAAUGCGUAGAGAUUGGGAGGAACACCAGUGGCGAAGGCGACUUACUGGGCCGUAACUGACGCUGAGGCGCGAAAGCGUGGGGAGCGAACAGGAUUAGAUACCCUGGUAGUCCACGCGGUAAACGAUGAAUGCUAGGUGUUGCGGGUAUCGACCCCUGCAGUGCCGGAGUAAACACAAUAAGCAUUCCGCCUGGGGAGUACGGCCGCAAGGUUGAAACUCAAAUGAAUUGACGGGG
rnacentral:rRNA from 1 species